AAACAUGGUCUUUAGGGUCCUGGGAAGCUGAAGCUGGGAAUGUGAAUGACAAAGCAAUGUCCUCCCCUGGAAGAGGACCAGCUAAGUAAGGCUGAGCGAACUUUGAAUAGUAUUCCAUUCGAUGGAUUCCCGGUUGAUGGACAUUUGGACUGUUCCCAGUUUGGGGUCUUCUAUGAAGGACACUGCUGUGGACAUUCAUAAUCAACUAAAAAUUUGAGAUUGAAUAUUUGAGAAACUGGAAAGACUUCAGAUCUGUGUUCCACUCAUGCACCGGUGGCUGUAUGUGUGUCAAACAUUUUUCAGCAGCCUGACUCUGAUGUGAAAAAAAUUAAGUCUGUAACACUGUGGACUUGGAUUCAUUAGUCACCUUCAGGUUCUUAGUUACCCACCAGUCUGGCAGUGGACCUGCAACAUGCUGUCAGAGAGUCAUGGGAGUAUCCCGUGCUUAAAGGAACAAUGCUGUAAUGUCCUGUGAUCAUGGCUCUGAAAGGUGACAGUUACACGACUGCAGCAGACUCCAGACUCCGUCUCCACUGGCAGCCAGGAGCCUGCAAGUGCUGUGCGAGGGAUAAGCAAGAAGAAACUGAAGGGAGGAGAAAGGGACUGGGUUUUUACCCAAGAAAAUAGUCUGCUUUCAUCGUGAAUGUGUUUGUGAUUGUUGCUGAAUCAGAAUCCAGGCCAGGUUUGCACAUUAAUUGUUCUUUUAUUAGGAAAGAAAUCAAGCGAUCCAGGAGAGAAAAUAAAAUUUGACUGUACUCCUAACAGUUCCCCAGAGAUAACUGGCGAUGAUUAUCGAGUUAAAUGGCUACAUCGCUAACAAUUGCAAUCUCAAGUCAGUCCCCUGUACGAUCCAUUUUCGCUCUCCAUGUACAGAUGCUGAAAUCCUCUAGUAAAUGGACUAAUUAUCCCCUUAUCUGUUUUAGUUGUUUCUCUCUUGCCCCACCCA